CGACGGACCAAGACGCUUCCGGGCAACGGACCGAGAGGGGCGGGGCCUAGGUUUAAGAAAGGAAGGUGUUGCCCUGGCUGGCGUAGCUCAGUGGAUUGAGCGGGGGCUGCGAAUCAAGUGUCGCAGAUAAAUAAAUCUGAAAAAAAAAGAAAGGAAGGUGUUUCUGCCUGGGCUGCCCUCAGAAGAGGAAGCUGAACAGAGGGGGCGGGACCUGAGGAGAGCGGCUAGAGGUGGGGCUACUCAGGGGACCCUGGGGCAGCCCUGAAGAUCGAGUGUUGGCUGACCUGGCCUCGCCUGUGAUCCCCGCGGCAAUGCCCAUCCCAUCCCGUCUCCCACCUCAUCCCCG